CUUCUUUCAUACGCUUUGUCUCUCAUGUCUCUCUCAUUCUCUCAAAACGUUUCAAACGAUUUCUGCAAAACCCUAAUCGGCGAAUCCUCUACUUAGCAACCCUAACCGGCGAUUCCUCUACAAAGCAACCUUAAUCGGCGAUUCCUCUACAUGGAGAUUCGAUGAAACACAGAUUCGAUGGACACAUGGAGAUUACCAAUUCGAUUCGGGUCUCUUGAAACGCAGAUUCUAUAUCCGAUUACCCCAAUUGUCUCGAUCUUGAUCUCUGAGAUUUUGGAAUGGCAAUAAGCAAUAUAUCUAAUUCGCUUGCGUGUUCGUGUGGCUGAUAUGCAUUGUGAACAGAUUUCUUACGGGUUACCUUAAAUGGUUUCUUAUAUGGUUUGGAUCCGUAUCAAGAUUGGCACCCUAUCACCUUCUUCGUUCUGAUUUCAACCCAAAUAGCAGAUUUGGAGGAUCGACGGAGAUUUGUGCAGGCAUAUUUCAGCUCUGCAGGUGAAUGUCUGAAAACUUGGAUAAUGGAAGCAUGGAGUGGGUGUUCUCACAAGAAAAUAGUUGCAGCAUCAGCAGCCACAGCCUUUUGGAAUCUGACUUCCAUUAAAACCUGAAUUUUCGCAGCAUUCAUAAGUUUGGUGAUCUUUAGAUGGUGUAGACAAGAGUGACAUGGUCUAAAAAAGGUAUGCAACGGCCGGGCCAGGUUUACCUUAACUCCUUUUGUCCAUUUUUUUAAAUAAUUAGUUUGUCAAAUGUAAUCUUUUAAUCAAUUAGUAUGUAACAGGUUGGGUCAGUUGGACCUAAAUCAUCUAUUGUCCAUUUUAUAAAAAAUAUUAGUGUGUCAAAUAUGAUUGUAAAAUAUAUAACGGUAUGAGUCGUGUUUCUUUUGUAGACUCUACAACCUAACUUAAGGUCACUAACACCUGCAUGAUGCUUGGGACCUAACUUAAGGUCACUAACACCUGCAUGAUGCUUGGGGGUUCGUUUCACCUUAACUCUAGGAAGCUCCAGGAAGCUUAGGAAUUCAGUUUUUUUUCCUUUUUAAACAGAAAACGAGCCCUAACUACAAAGUUUAAUCAUGUUCUAGAAGACCUUGCAGCCCAGAAUGAUUUGGUUUAAGAUGUGUCCCCGCUGCAACGCGCGGACACCAAACUAGAAGGAGGUGACCAUGAUUAUGAUGAGCAAAGUCAUGCUUAAUGUGUGCAUGAACAACUUUGCAGAGAAAGGGGGGUUGUUGGAAUAUUUCAUUUUGGUAGGCGUAUGAGUUAUGAAAUAAUGUAAUUUGUGAAGCAUUUAACCAGUGGUGAAUGGUGGAUAAUGUUUCCAUGCG